rnacentral:lncRNA from 1 species
GGUAAGAAAAUUUGAGACCGAAGUCAAAACUUCAAGUUUAAACCUCGCUUCCAAGCAAGAUUAAUAUUAAAAUUAGAGAUUUUAAGGUUUCUGUGUUUCGUGCAUUGACAUAUUAGGUAAAUUACUAUGAUUUACAAAAACUAAAUGGCUUUAAAUUUAUAUUAAAUACAAAUUACAAUAUGAUAAGAUUGGUGCCAAGAAAAUAUUAUCAAGGGGCAGAUUAUAAACAUAAGGUGCAACCUAGAAAGCAAAACUGGAAAGAAUGCAGCUGUUUAUACUGAGACAGAGAUAAAAAAAAAAAAAUGUCUUCACAAACAUCUAAAUUGGUGCUAGGGCUCUCUUGUGUUGCUACUAUUGGUAUUGUAGCCUACGUACACAUAAAACAACAAACAGAUAGAGAAAAAAUGCAUGAAGGUGUAGUCAAGGAUAUAGAACGCCAACAGAGAAGAAAAAUAGAAAACCUGUAUCUCCUUGAAAAACAAAAAGAAUUAACUAAACAGUUGAAAAAAGAAUUGGAAAGCUAGUGA